rnacentral:rRNA from 1 species
AUGUCCUACGGGAGGCAGCAGUGGGGAAUAUUGCACAAUGGGCGAAAGCCUGAUGCAGCGACGCCGCGUGAGGGAUGACGGCCUUCGGGUUGUAAACCUCUUUCAGCAGGGAAGAAGCGCAAGUGACGGUACCUGCAGAAGAAGCACCGGCUAACUACGUGCCAGCAGCCGCGGU